AAUCCACAUAAACAAAUCCAGAUUAAUGAAUCCACAUAAACAAAUCCAGAUUAAUGAAUCCAGUUAAACUAAUCCGGAUAAACAAAUCCAGAUAAACAAAUCCAGAUUAAUGAAUCCAGAUUAACAGAUCCAGAUCAAUGGAUCCAGAUGAACAGAUCCACCCAUCGUCUAGAGAGAAGCUGAGAUGUUCUGGACUCCAGACUGCAGGGAUCUGAAACCAGUACUGUUGAUCAUGAACAGUAUUGCUUUGAUCUGUUGAUCUGGACCUGAUCUAAUUUGUUCCUGGAUAUGUUCCAGUAUGGGUAUAAUGUGGAACUGAUCUGGUCCGGUUCUGGAUGUAUCUGGUCGUGUUUAACUGUUUACAACAAUAAUUUAUCAAUCUGAGCAACAGUGAUUUACUGCUGUAAACACACUCAGAACCGGGUCAGAGUUCUUAGACUGGACCCACUCUGUUCCGUCUCAUCAGAACCGGGUAGGAGUUCUUAGACUGGACCCACUCUGUUCGUCUCAUCAGAACCGGGUCAGAGUUCUUAGACUGGACCCACUCUGUUCGUCUCAUCAGAACCUGUUUCUCCAUGAAAGCUCCAGAACCAUGAGGGUCAAAGGUUCCAGUAUCUUCAUGCAGGAACACACUAACCCACAUCUUGUUUUGGAGGGGCGGGUCAUCUGUGGGAGGGGGGCGUGGCCAGAGGGAGCCGUGGUGACAGCACACUUCCUGUCAGGAGACAAUAAGACCCAGGAGUGGUUCCCAGCUCUCCUCAGACCAGAACCUGGACCUCCAUCAGGACUGACUCGGACCCAUCCCCAGACUGGACCAGGAUGUGGACGUUCCUGAUGAUGGUGGUCCUACUGGACCCGAGCCGGGCCACAGCUGUGAGACCAGAACCGAGACCUGCUGGGAGACGGAUCAGGAGGAUGGAGGCAGACUGGAAUGUAACAGACCGGCCCAGCGUUUCUCAGGUGUUGGUUGACCUGGACCAGCUGGAUGCUUCCACGAUCUCUCCUGUUGUGGACACGCCCCAAAAGAUGACAUCCUCCUCUUCCUCAUCCUCCUCUUCCUCAUCAUCUUCAGAGUCCAGCCAGAGUUCAGAGGGAGUCGAGCGGCAGCAGCAGCUGGAGCCUCAGAACACGGAGAACACGGCUCUGGAGCAGGUGGACUCGUCAGAGGAGAGCUCGGAGCUCCGCCUACCUCCUAGUCUGAGGCACCACCAGCUGGUUUCUCUAGGAGAGGGAGGAGCCAUAGAAGGGGGCGGAGCUCAGAAGAUUCAGAACACUGAAGUGGGUGGAGCCGAAGCAGGGGAUGAGGGCGUGGCCUCUAAGGAGAAGCUGCUGGACGACAGCCUGGAGGAGGUGGACCGCCUCCCCUUCCACCUGCAUGAUGACCACAGCGAGGAGGCGGGGCUUGAGCUGGCCCUGUAG
rnacentral:lncRNA from 1 species